CCUGUCUCAGUUCGGAUUGGAGUCUGCAACCCGACUCCAUGAAGCUGGAUUCGCUAGUAAUCGCGCAUCAGCCACGGCGCGGUGAAUACGUUCCCGGGCCUUGUACACACCGCCCGUCAAGCCAUGGGAGCCGGGGGUGCCUGAAGGCCGUGACCGCGAGGAGCGGCCUAGGGUAAAACUGGUGACUGGGGCUAAGUCGUAACAAGGUAGC
rnacentral:rRNA from 1 species